CUCCCGGCUUCAGGUCCUGCAACCGCGGCAGCUUCUCCCACGUGAGCCCGAGGCUCCACCGGCCUUCGCGGAGAGUCCCGUGCCUCUGGUUGAGUAAUCCGCUCACCUGCAUGGAAUCGGCGCUAAUGAUCUCGCCUCCGCGGCGCUUCCCGAUCUCGAUGGCCAGCUUCGACUUGCCCGUGCCGGUGGCACCCAAAAUGACCACCAGAGGUGGCACGACACGUCUGCUCACGCUGCUGAGGACGGCGGCCGCCAUAACGAGACUGCGUGACUCGAGGGCUGCGUGCGGCGCGAAAGGCGCGCGCUCGGUAUCCGGGCAACCGCAAGCCGUCUCCAUGGUUGCAGGGAUGGGGAGGACGGACGGUAAUGGCUGUUAACGCCGUUCAUGGUAAAUGCUGAGAUUGCUGCACGCCUCCCGAAAGACCUGAGCACGAACAGCUCGGCUCAGGUUGCCGUAGAAACAGGAUUAUUCGAAUCUUGCAAAAGAGAAGAUGCUUGUUGCCAUGGUGAAGAGGUCUGCAAUGACGUAUCUCCGUGGAAACGGCGCUUGUCGCCGGAGUUUGUACACAGGUGCUGAUGUAGUAAAUCGCCUUUUUUAUGU